UGUGGGUAAAUCAACCAGCUUAACUGGUUGAAUUCUGCAGAGACUGCCAGACUAGGGACCGGGAGAGGUGUGGGGUACUCUAGGGGUAGGGGUAAAAUCCUGUCAUCCUUAGAGGACCACCAGUUGCGAAGGCGCCACACUGGAACGGAUCCGACGGUCAGGGACGAAGCCUAGGGGCACGAACCGGAUUAGAUACCCGGGUAGUCCUAGGUGUAAACGCUGUGAACUUGGUGUCGGGGUUCCGUAAGGGGUCCCCGGUGCCGGAGUGAAGAUGUUAAGUUCACUGCCUGGGGAGUACGGUCGCAAGGCUGAAACUUAAAGGAAUUGGCGGGGGAGCACUGCAACGGGAGGAGCGUGCGGUUUAAUUGGAUUCAACGCCGGAAAACUCACCAAGGCCGACUGUUAGAUGAAGACCAGCGUAAUGAGCUUGUCGGAUUUUCAGAGAGGUGGUGCAUGGCCGUCGUCAGUUCGUACUGUAAAGCGUUCUGUUAAGUCAGAUAACGAACGAGACCCUCAUCUCUAUUUGCUACCCGUCUCUCCGGAGGCGGCGCACUAUAGAGAGACCGCUGGUGUUAAACCAGAGGAAGGCGAGGGCAACGACAGGUCAGUAUGCCCCGAAUGUCCUGGGCUACACGCGCGCUACAAAGGACGGGACAAUGGGAAGCCAGGCCGAGAGGCCGAGCUACCCCGAAACCCGUUCAUAGUUCGGAUCGUGGGCUGUAACUCGCCCACGUGAAGCUGGAUUCCGUAGUAAUCGUGUUUCAAUAUAGCACGGUGAAUAUGCCCCUGCUCCUUGCACACACCGCCCGUCAAACCAUCUUAGUUGGGGGUGGGUGAGGCUGCGCUUUAUGGCGUAUUCGAGCCUGCCUUCGACAAGGAGGGUUAAGUCGUAACAAGGUAUCUGUAGGGGAACCUGCAGAUG
rnacentral:rRNA from 1 species